ensembl:lncRNA
AUGGAGCAGAAACCCCUAAGAGUGCCCAAGCUGGCCGGGGUGGAGGAAGAGGACAAAGGCCCUGGAGCUGCCCCAGGGCAUGAGACUGAAGAGGUGGUGCCAUUCAAGCAGCUGCAGGAGGAUGCAGCCCUGGAGCGGACACAAGAACAGGAACCCGCCCGUGGCCGCUUCCGCAGAACAGCGCAGACCAUCCGUCAAUUCAUCACGUGCAUUUGGCAGGAAGAGAGCACAGGUGUGGGCACCGGGAUCUUGGCAAGCUUUCACCUCUUCAGUGCCGAGACCAGUGCUGCCAUGCUGGAUUUGCUGGUGGAGAAGGGUGUCUCCAAUGCAAAGCAAGCAACAGUAACAAUGUGGAGGGUCUUCAAUCUGACCUGGUGCCCACCUGUAGUGCAGGUAUAUUUCCCCAAUCUCCUUCUGCGUCUGCUCUUCCAAGCUUACAUCAGCACGCUGGAUAUGCCAGAAGAGGUGGAUACCUUCUGGAAGAGAUGCCAGGAGCAACACGACCUUGCUGCCCACCCCAACAGCUUUGCACUGCAGACCCUGAAGGCCCUGCUCUGCCAAAUGCAGUACGAGGACGUGGUGCUAGCAAUGGAACGCAGGUGUGCCUGGAACAUGCUGCUCUGUGCCCACACCCACCAUUAUGCAGUGGGUCUGCUGGCCAGGGAGAUGCGCCGUGUCUCCAUCAUCUGGCGCUGCAGGAUCGCAUCCUGCCUCUUUGACCUACUCAGCCAAGACAUUUCAGCCUGGGAACUGCCCGCCCUGACGUUCCUGGUGGAGGUGAGCCCGAUGGCCAGCGCUGCCUCGCUCAGCUGCCUCCCACGCCUCUGCCCUCUGGUAGCCGCAGCUGCCUGGGAUGGUGCCCUGUGCUGCUGCCUUGGCUCAGCCCUGUGCGGUUCUGAGCUCCUGCCAGCUGGGCACUCCUGUCACUGCUCUGUGCCUUUCAGGUCCUGGACUGCCUGGACUUGAGUGAAUGCGGUGAAAAGGUCCUGCAGAUCAUGACAAGGCACCUGAAGAGACGGUCCAGAGAGAUGCGUCGCGUGGCGCUCAGAGGCCUCGUGGUGCUCAGCCAGGACCCCUCGAUGGUGAGAAGGAGGCAGCAGCUGAAGCUGUGCUGGCAGCCUGGGGCUGGGGAAAGCAGCCCCGUGGGCUUGGCUGGGCUUUGGGAGCUGUGGCAGCUGCUCCCAGCUCUCCAGGGUCACUGUUCAGCUGCCUGAGUGCUCUGGGACAGGCCUUCGGCCUCUGAGCCCUGCAGCAGCAGCAGCAGCGUCGGGUUGCCCAGCCUUGUUUUCCACACAGAACCAAAGAAUGUACAGCCUGACUGAAAGCCUUGGCAACCUCCUGCGGGCCGUGGAUGAAGACAUUGUUGAGAUGACCGUCGUUGUUCUCAGCUCUCUGCUCUUCAACAAAGAGAUAGCAAUAGCCAGCCCCAUCGCCCUGCAGCUGGCUGAGGCGCUCUGGCAACUCUUCGACAAU